UGAGCACUCAGCUCGCGCUCUAGGAAAUGAGCCGAAGGGGCGGGGAAGAAAUGCUGCUUGUAAAAGUGACUGGCCCGUCACGGUGGAGGCUUCACUAUCUGACACCCCGAUCCAACACUGCCACUGGAGUCAAGUGGCAACUGCAGCUGACAUUCUGUGGACAUGUCUGACCCUGAAUUGUUCUCCUGUACCUGAUGCCAUCAAUAGCAGCCCUCGACAUGGACCCCCUUUAAACAGGUAACCUGCUCUUGGUGUGAAAAUAAACAAAAAUUUCCCAGAUGAGAACAAAUGGAGGCUAUUUACUCAAUCAUCCACUGUCACUUGCAUUUUACAGCAUCUUGAAGACAGAAAGGAAGUGUUGCUACCAGAGUAGCAAGCAGCUGUUUGGCUUCUCCACCAAGAAACACAUGAAAAAGUGAAGUUAAACGUUAGAUGACUGAAAAUGUUCUGACACUAAGAGCUGCUGGGCUUUGGGGUGGGGGGCUGAAAGAGUCUGCAGAGCCAGAAGCACAGCCUGAAGAACGGGUCUUUUCCCAUUCUUUAACUGCUUUACGGGGGAAGAGAAAACACGUCAUCUGUCUCGUGCUGCAUCCCUUGCAUUGGCGUUACUAAAUGGGCUUAAGGAGCUUCUACUUAGAGAUCAAAGAGAUGGACUACACUGUUGAGCAGGAGAAGAGGGGAUACGAAGUCAGCAAUUAAGAAGGAUUUCUCAGAAACGAUUGUAGCACUGAAUAAUUACUGACUAGUUCGGUGAACACAACACAUAGAAGAAGCACGUGAACAUUUGCAUCGCCAGGACCAUGCAUAUUUGGUGUUUGAAUCAUGCUUCUUCACUAUGUUUCACCACCAGCCUUGGAUUCAGGAUGGCAGAUCUUUGGAGAGACCACAUUUCCAAUAACCCAGCAUGCCCAAGGUUAGAGACUGUUGACAAGUGGCUGGCUAUACUCUGGGUCCCAGACUGCAUUAUGAGGAAGGUUGAAGUCGAGGGGAGCUCUGUGAACAUACUGUGCAGUGGCUGCAGCCAUUUGGAGACAACCCUUGUUCAGGAGGAAAUGGUUUUCUUAAAGACAAUUCCUGAUUCUGGUUUCCCAAUUCCACUUCUGAGCAGCUCCUCUGCUCUACA